UACGUAGGGUGCAAGCGUUGUCCGGAAUUAUUGGGCGUAAAGAGCUCGUAGGCGGUCUGUCGCGUCUGCUGUGAAAACUCAGGGCUUAACCCUGAGCUUGCAGUGGGUACGGGCAGACUAGAGUGCGGUAGGGGAGACUGGAAUUCCUGGUGUAGCGGUGAAAUGCGCAGAUAUCAGGAGGAACACCGGUGGCGAAGGCGGGUCUCUGGGCCGAUACUGACGCUGGAGGAGCGGAAAGCCGUGGGGAGCAAACAGG
rnacentral:rRNA from 1 species